AGCUCAAAAGGCAUUCACAAAUCUCUGAGGCCAGUGAGGACCUUGGCAGCAUGGUUUUCAGGGAGUGUUCUGCGAGACCUCAGCCAUGCACUCUUUAGGGAGUUUGCCGCCAUCACUCAGGUGGGCUUAGAUGCGUCUUUGCCAUAGGACUCCAGUGGUCAGCUCUGGCAGUGUCCAUGUGGUAUUGACUAUGUGUGGAUACAGAGUGGUAGAACUAUGGGGGCAUGGCUUUCUCUUCUUAAAUCUUAGUCUAUUCUAGACAGUGUCAGGGCCUAGAGAGACUUGUUGCAGAGGCAGGGCUCUGCAGCUCCUACUAAAGCAGUGCAUAAUGGAGCCAGGAGAGUGUGGCUACUUCCAACUGUGGAGUGACCAGCACACAUUGCCAUCUGGGGAGAGCUGCAGGCAUGAGACUCCAACCUGUGGAAGCUGCUGAAUGGUCUGAGCUAAGUAAAGCCACGAGUGUGGGGCUACCUGAGGUUCUGGGGACUCUACAGUGUGUCCAAGAGGCAGAAUACUGAGGUACUCACUGCUCUUUGUUUUGUCAACUUGACACAAGCCAUGGUCAAUUGGGAAGAGUCACAGAAGCCGAACAGAAAGGCCUCUUUUCAAACAUGAGUAAUGGCCCCAUUCACCAGAAGUUGGUGGGAUCUGAUCCCAGCAGCACCAGUCAGCACACGAGUGACUCCAGAUGCCAAGGACACGGAGAAAUCAAGCCGGAACUAAGCUGGAAGCUGCCUCUCCUGUUCAGGCUGCCGGGAGAGAGAGCUCAUCGAUAGUCCUUACUCAGCGGUGAACUCUGCAUGCUGGGUUCUGUUGGAUGAAAUACAACCCACUGGUCCAAUAGUGGCGUGACCGCUUUGGGGGCAAUCAACCACUUUCUGGUUGGAUUGGAGGCACACUCUGAGGGAAGGAAUACACACUUGUUGCUGUAGACCAGAUCAAGACUCCCAGGCUAGGGAGGUCAUAGGGUCCACGGGGGAACCUACUACAUUUGGGUUUGCUGUUUUCUCCUUUCCAGAAGAAGAUGAUACAAUGAACUGCAGCAAACAUUUGUGUGAAUCCUCCAUCCAAGCUUGACUGAAUUUUGUGCCACCUGGUGGUAUUGGCAGAGGUUUCUUUAGUCUUAACUAUUCUUUCAGGGCCUCCUAGGCAGACAGUUUUAGUUUUCAGGUCAGUGUGGGCCUAUCAUUCCUGGCCCAUUUGUGUAUGACUCCAAAUGAACUAGAGAAUGGGAAGAUAUUACUUUUUUUCUCCCCUGGAGGACCCCCUAAAUUCCCAAUAGCAGCUCAACUAUUUAAUCUGAGAAUUGCAUGAAGCAUUUAAAAAAAAAAUAAAACAAAACAUCAUAAAUUUGA